UACGUAGGGACCAAGCGUUGUUCGGAUUUACUGGGCGUAAAGGGCGCGUAGGCGGCAAUUCAAGUCACUUGUGAAAUCUCCGAGCUUAACUCGGAACGGUCAAGUGAUACUGCUUUGCUAGAGUGCAGAAGGGGCAACCGGAAUUCUUGGUGUAGCGGUGAAAUGCGUAGAUAUCAAGAGGAACACCGGAGGUGAAGACGGGUUGCUGGGCUGACACUGACGCUGAGGCGCGAAAGCGUGGGGAGCGAACAGG
rnacentral:rRNA from 1 species